ensembl:lncRNA
GGUGGACGGCACUCGGAGGAGGGGUGUUGCUCGCUGAACGUCUGUGUCAGCUCCAACAGUUUGCUAUCACCCGUGUAAGUGUGAAAUAUAUUUGUAGUUUAGUUUUUUGCGGUUGUUUUCCCGUCAGUUUGUGCGUGUGUGCGGUGUGUUUUGAGUCUCUGUCGGAGUGUCGGUGUGGAUAUUUCAUCGUAUUAGCAGCUCUGUACAAUGACACACUAACGGGACUGUCAACAUGAGUCCGUUAACACACUGCUGCUGCUCACUGACACUGACAGCCACCGAACUAACAUUUUUACGAUAUUUUUAAGCUAUUUUCAUUUUGUUUCGUGUCAUUUCACCACAUAUACACUAGCAAGUGUGAUAAUACUUUAUUUCUACAGGGCGUAAAGUACGUUUUGUGUUACUCAAAUGGGAAUUUUUGGACUCAUCUUUCGUAACGGUCGUUCUAUUUCAUGUCCUGUGGUGUCCUGUCAGUGUUGAUUUGCGGGCGUUUUGAUGAGGCACUUUAAUAAGAACGUAAUUAAAAUGUUGUAUUUUGUGGUUAUGUACAGCAAGUUUAUUAUAUUGCUUGUUAAGUAAGGAAUGAACAACAAAAGCUUUUUAAAUGCUGGAAAUUUGCUUGUGGGUUUUGGAACCAAGUAGAAGUGACCUGAGGGCCUGAUGUAGCAGGUUGUCACCUCCUCUGCGACGAAGCAAGUCCACUCCAGCUUCACUACAAUGGACUGAAGGUAAUCCAGAGGAGUGAGUCAUACUAGGAUGACAGUUGGGCUGAUGGUAGGUGGGUUUUUCUUCUUCUGAUGUGAGUCAUUAUGUCUUUCCUCUCUCACUCCUAUUCCUUUACACAUCCUUUUGUUUAUCGUUCUGAC